rnacentral:lncRNA from 1 species
GGGCAUUCUACAAUAUCACAGUAAUCAAAAGUGAAUGUAGCCACAUGGGUACAUGAUGAAUUAUACCAGAAAGUGUACCCACUAGCAUCUUUGGUGAUGGCCACCUGCUGGGCUUUAAGGAGGCCAACUAAGGAGAUAAUGUACCAGAGGCACAUGAUUGCAUAGAGUUAGCUUCCUCUGGGGCAGGUGUCUUCUUGCAAUGGGAAGCGUGGAUCCAGUUAGGCCUUCCGGCCAAUUUGACAGAGGUAGGGGAGAUCAGGAGAACUUGGAAUGGUCCGUCAAAUCUUGGUUCCAGGGUGUGUUUUCGCACAAAUUUCUUGACCAGAACCCAGUCACCGGGGAGCAGACUGUGGUUGCCUGUGUCAGAAUCAGGAUCUGGAAUUGAAG